rnacentral:misc_RNA from 1 species
ACAUUAAUAUAAUAUUGUUAAAAUCCUAGUCAAUUCCUAGGAUGCUAUGGCCUUAUGAUGCACAACGCACCAAAUGAUUUCGAAUGCCUCAUAUCUAAGACCUUGAGCUUGAGUGGAAUUAUGGUACUAACCAUGAUCAUACUAAUUAAAAUAUAUAAGGCGUUUGGCUAUUCUUUGAACAACACAUUUUAUCAUGUGAUUUAAGAAUAACACAAUGAAGGGUAGUUCUUCCCAAUGCAAAAUCUCAUAAUCUAUUGGUUCAAAAUCCAAGUUGGAAUGUCAAGUUAUAACAAAAUGUAAAAUAGUCCAUUUUUUGAAUUUUUACUAUUUUUCUGGCUAGGGUUAAAUUAUUUGAGGUCAUCAGAGUUAUGAGUCAUCUCCUAUCGAACAUUAAAAAG